AGGACGAACGCUGGCGGCGUGCUUAACACGUGCAAGUCGAGCGGAAAGGCCCUUCGGGGUACUCGAGCGGCGAACGGGUGAGUAACACGUGGGUAACCUGCCCCUUGCUCUGGGAUAACUCCGGGAAACCGGGGCUAAUACCGGAUAUGACACUCGCAGGCAUCUGCUGGGUGUGGAAAGUUUUUCGGCGAGGGAUGGGCCCGCGGCCUAUCAGCUUGUUGGUGGGGUGAUGGCCUACAAGGCGGUGACGGGUAGCC
rnacentral:rRNA from 1 species